rnacentral:lncRNA from 1 species
GCCCGUUUCCACGGCAAAGCACGAGUGUUCUUGUUGCUUUAUGUGUUUUCUAAAACUUCUAAAUAAUAGAAAGUUUUUAUGGCUGCUCAUAUCUUACCAAUAUGUGUUUAUGUUAUAACUUCAGUAAACAUUUGAUAACUUGAUAUAUGUUACAGUUUGGAAGAAUUUGUUUUGAUAAUAAGGGAAAUUUAUUUUCAGGACCACAGACUCUGAAAUAUGAAAGAGAAGUAAUAUUUCCCCAGUCUUUCUUUUUUUUUUUGGUACCGGAGAUCGAACUCGGGACCUUGCGCUUGCGAGGCAGGCACCAGAACCACUGAGAGCCAGCAUGGUGAUGCACACCUGUAAUCCCAACAGCAUGGAAGCCAAGACAGGAAGAUCACAGGCCAGCUUGGGCAACUUGAACGUUAUGCUUGAUGUUUGAAGCUGCCACAGCUAGCCUGUAGCAAUGAAGGACAAGACAAGAGAAUCACAGAGACACAAGUUAUAGUACCAUAAAGACACUGACUCAAGUCAAGAGCCACCCACCUCCAGACUUCCUGUUAAGUGGGGAAAACAAGAACGUGUUUGCUUACCCAACCCUUGGUUGUGUCUGCUCUCCCUAACAGCAGCUGAAUGCAAUCCUGAGACAAAAGUCAUUUCAAGAAAAUGCCUUUCUACUUUGAAUAAUGAC